UCUAAAUCUUGAUGGAGUAAUCUACAUCCCC
rnacentral:piRNA from 1 species